rnacentral:rRNA from 1 species
GAUGAACGCUGGCGGCGUGCUUAACACAUGCAAGUCGAACGAAGCGCUUAAACGGAUUUCUUCGGAUUGAAGUUUUUGCGACUGAGUGGCGGACGGGUGAGUAACGCGUGGGUAACCUGCCUCAUACAGGGGGAUAACAGUUAGAAAUGACUGCUAAUACCGCAUAAGCGCACAGUGCUGCAUGGCACAGUGUGAAAAACUCCGGUGGUAUGAGAUGGACCCGCGUCUGAUUAGCUAGUUGGUGAGGUAACGGCCACCAAGGCAACGAUCGGUAGCCGGACUGAGAGGUUGAACGGCCACAUUGGGACUGAGACACGGCCCAG